GGCCAGACUCCUACGGGAGGCAGCAGUGGGAAAUAUUGGGCAAUGGGCGCAAGCCUGACCCAGCAACGCCGCGUGAAGGAAGAAGGCUUUCGGGUUGUAAACUUCUUUUAAGAGGGAAGAGUAGAAGACGGUACCUCUUGAAUAAGCCACGGCUAACUACGUGCCAGCAGCCGCGGUAAUACGUAGGUGGCAAGCGUUAUCCGGAUUUACUGGGUGUAAAGGGCGUGUAGGCGGGACUGCAAGUCAGAUGUGAAAACCACGGGCUCAACCUGUGGCCUGCAUUUGAAACUGUAGUUCUUGAGUACUGGAGAGGCAGACGGAAUUCCUAGUGUAGCGGUGAAAUGCGUAGAUAUUAGGAGGAACACCAGUGGCGAAGGCGGCCUGCUGGACCGUGACUGACGUUGAGGCUCGAGAGCGUGGGGAGCAAACAGGAUUAGAUACCCUUGUAC
rnacentral:rRNA from 1 species